rnacentral:lncRNA from 1 species
CAGAGUUCGGGAUGCUGACUUUGUGGGUUUAUUCCGAACGAAUCCUUUGGAGUUAUCGGGAAAUUUUGGGUGGUAAUUGAAGAGGACAUUGUGAGCUUUCCGAUGGUAUCAAAAUUCGAUAGUUUUGAUGGUCGAAAGUUGCCGAAAAAUUGCCUUAAAAGUCGCCCAAAAAAUCUGAAAAUCUGGGCAGAUUUUCAGAAUUUUUGGACGACUUUUAAGACAAUUUUUCGAUCGAAUCUCUUGGAGUUAUAAUGAGAUUUUGGGUGGUAAUUGAAGAGGACAUCGUGGGCUUUCCAACGGUAUCAAAAUUCGACAUUCUUUGUGGUCGGAAGUUGUCGAAAAUUUGCCGUAAAAGUAGCCCAAUUAUUUGAAGAGACGAGUGGUGAAUGAGUAAUUAUAUGAAAAAAUGAGUGAGCAUUCAGUAAUAUGUGAAAGAUGAGUGAGCAAA